AGCCAUGCAUGUCUCAGUACAAGCCACAUUAAGGUGAAACCGCGAAAGGCUCAUUAAAUCAGUUAUGGUUCCUUAGAUCGUACCCACACUUACUUGGAUAACUGUGGUAAUUCUAGAGCUAAUACAUGCAAACAGAGCUCCGACCGGAGACGGGAGGAGUGCUUUUAUUAGAUCAAAACCAAUCGGCGGCGGGCGCGUUCGCGCGUCCGUUCGCCGCUCAACCUGGUGACUCUGAAUAACUUUCGGCUGAUCGCACGGUCUCGCACCGGCGACGCAUCUUUCAAAUGUCUGCCUUAUCAACUGUCGAUGGUAGGUUCUGCGCCUACCAUGGUCGUAACGGGUAACGGGGAAUCAGGGUUCGAUUCCGGAGAGGGAGCCUGAGAAACGGCUACCACAUCCAAGGAAGGCAGCAGGCGCGCAAAUUACCCACUCCCGGCACGGGGAGGUAGUGACGAAAAAUAACGAUACGGGACUCAUCCGAGGCCCCGUAAUCGGAAUGAGUACACUUUAAACCCUUUAACGAGGACCAUUGGAGGGCAAGUCUGGUGCCAGCAGCCGCGGUAAUUCCAGCUCCAAUAGCGUA
rnacentral:rRNA from 1 species